UACGGAGGGUGCAAGCGUUAUCCGGAUUCACUGGGCUUAAAGGGUGCGUAGGCGGGCAUGUAAGUCCGUGGUGAAAUCUCCGAGCUUAACUCGGAAACUGCCAUGGAUACUAUGUGUCUUGAAUGUUGUGGAGGUGAGCGGAAUAUGUCAUGUAGCGGUGAAAUGCUUAGAUAUGACAUAGAACACCAAUUGCGAAGGCAGCUCACUACACAAAUAUUGACGCUGAGGCACGAAAGCGUGGGGAGCAAACAGG
rnacentral:rRNA from 1 species